AGGCUAACUCCUACGGGAGGCAGCAGUAGGGAAUCUUCCACAAUGGGCGCAAGCCUGAUGGAGCAACACCGCGUGAGUGAAGAAGGGUUUCGGCUCGUAAAGCUCUGUUGUUGGAGAAGAACGUGCGUGAGAGUAACUGUUCACGCAGUGACGGUAUCCAACCAGAAAGUCACGGCUAACUACGUGCCAGCAGCCGCGGUAAUACGUAGGUGGCAAGCGUUAUCCGGAUUUAUUGGGCGUAAAGCGAGCGCAGGCGGUUGCUUAGGUCUGAUGUGAAAGCCUUCGGCUUAACCGAAGAAGUGCAUCGGAAACCGGGCGACUUGAGUGCAGAAGAGGACAGUGGAACUCCAUGUGUAGCGGUGGAACGCGUAGAUAUAUGGAAGAACACCAGUGGCGAAGGCGGCUGUCUGGUCUGCAACGUGACGCUGAGGCUACGAAAGCAGUGGGUAGCGAACAGGAUAGAUACCGUGUAGUCCAUCGACGUAACGAUGAGUGGCGUAGGUGUUGGUACGGUUCCGCCUUACGAGUCGG
rnacentral:ncRNA from 1 species